CUCAAAAAAUCUAUUCAUCAUCUUCUCCAAAAAAUUCUCCUUCCUUUGCAAACCCUAGACCGCCGCUACACCUUCCGCCAAUGAUUCACCUCUCCACCAUGCUCUACUAAUGAACAACAAGCCGAAGACUCCACUCGCGUGCUAUUACCUAUCUUCUCGUCUGCAGACACGAACUCGUGGUCUCCGUUUACUUACACACGAAGUCGUACGCCUAGCCACGCCGAUCUCCUUCAUCCACGUCCGUUCGCCGAUUCUGCCAAGCUCUAAGUCGCACCGCCUGUCCAUGGUUGAUCUGCCACCAAAAAUUUGUGUGUUGGAGGGUUCAAAUGGAAGAAUUUAAUCUUUACAAUUUUGUCCGAUCAAUGUUGAAUUGGUUUCAACCUCAAGUUUGAGUAAGUUGAUUUGAAAGAAUUUUGGGGACAAUAGCCAAUUUUAUUCAUUAAGUUAUUGUUUUUCCCCUAAUUUUCAUUACUGUUUAGUAUUGGUUCAUUGGAAACUUUAACUGUUAGUAAGGAUUGUUUGUUACCUAAUUUCUUAAGUAAGAGAUUCUACAACUAGACCUCAAAAAUAAAAUUAAGAGCUUGCAUGUGUUUUUUUCAUUA